rnacentral:rRNA from 1 species
UACGAAGGGUGCAAACGUUGCUCGGAAUUACUGGGCGUAAAGCGCGUGUAGGCGGUCUCGCAAGUCGGAUGUGAAAGCCCAGGGCUCAACCCUGGAAGUGCACUCGAUACUGCGAGGCUAGAGUCCCGGAGAGGAUGGUGGAACUCUCGGUGUAGAGGUGAAAUUCGUAGAUAUCGAGAAGAACACCGGUGGCGAAGGCGGCCAUCUGGACGGUGACUGACGCUGAGACGCGAAAAGCGUGGGGAGCGAACAGG